CGUUUAAAGCUCGCCUAUGGUCGGUCUCGAAUAGAACCUCACACCAAACUGCGUUUAGAAAUAUCUCUAUUUAAUGUUUCUUUACUUAUUGGCGAAAGUACUUGUACUUCAAUGUAAAUAGAGACCUUAUUGUGGAACAUUGGAAAGCACUAUUCACUUCGGCAUACGUGUAAGGUUUUAAACAGUACUCUAUUUGUGUAAAAUUUUGACUUUUGUAAUUACAACGCAGAUGUUUUCCGGGUAGGAAUGUUCCGUCGAAAGCAGCUUUAGAACACAUGGAGUCGCCCGGUAAAUGUGGCGUUUUAUUGCGGGAAAACAUUGUUUUGUGGAUUUUAUAGAUGCCGAAUAAAAAGAUAGUACCAAUAAUUGGAAACGGUAGUGACUCAUCCUGUGUGAGUCAUCUAUGUUGACCGACAAGCAAGGGCGAGUUUAAAACCCCAUAGUUUCAAACGCAGUACGUCACGGAGAUGAGCUAGACUACUCUCAUCUUUCCCACAGGAGGCUCUGCCUCCCAACCCCUUUGUUCAGUCUAGCCGGUGGGUUGAGUCAGAGGGAGGCUGUGCUAGCCCAACAAACCCAUACCACUGUGGGAAACCCGUCAAGACCCAGGAGAGGCCGAAAACAUAUCUAAGGUUAUCUCUAGGAGUCCAAACCGAGACUGAUAGCGUGUUUAACCAGAGGCAGACAACAGAAAAGUUGGUAUUGAGUGUUGCUGAUGCUGCGUUUCAUUUCGGAAACCGUCAGGAGCUGUGUGCCAGUGGUCGGAUACUAAAACAACGAUACAUGUCGAUUAUCUUCUUGCUGCUGCUGCUUGAGCUAUAUCCAGAAAAAUAAUGAACCGGCAGGCUAACCACUGAACCGUCGCCGGUCUAUUGCUGCUGAUAGUGUGCAGUUGUUGCCAUCAUCCACUGAUCCACGCUGGCUCUCCUUUCAGUUUCUGCUCAGCAUCCAUAUUUGCAUCCCAGGGAGUGGCAACCACUAAUCCUCCUUAUUCAGGCAAGAAAUUGAAAGUUGGCCGGUUGUCGGACACCCCUCGGACGCUUUAAUUUAACACAGGAAGCUAAACAUGGAGAGCGACAGCCACCACUCCCGCAUUUAGUGCCUGAUCCACAAGCCUUCAUCACCCAGGGAGGAGCUCUCAGGUCCCAGCCAUCUCUCCCUACCACUGUAGAAUGAAUAUGCUCAAGUCCAGUGGACUGAAAAUCCCUGGCCGUGGGCCCAAGCAUUCCAGCCCAGUGGGAAGGACCUCGGCGGGUGGAACGUCCAGCCCCGUUGUCCCUAAAGACAGCACCCCACUGAAGCCACCACACCGACUAAAAUCUCUGAAGAGGGCGAUGAUGUACUGGGGGACUACACAGUGGGUGAACAGGUCUGGGUCAACGGCGUCAAACCAGGAGUUAUUGCCUACCUAGGGGAGACCCAGUUUGCCCCGGGACAGUGGGCAGGCGUGAUACUGAAUGACCUAGUUGGCAAAAACGAUGGUUCAGUGGGUGGCGUGCGCUACUUUGAGUGCCAGCCCCUCCAGGGCAUCUUCACGCGACCCUCCAAGCUCACCCGACAGCCGGUCGGCGAGGGGAGCGACAGCCACUCCACUGACUCGCUCUCUACCCAGAAUCAGACUCAGCAGGGUGGCAGCGGCGCCCCCCCUGGCCAGCGGGUGGUAGUGCCACUCAGAGAGGGCCUGCUCAACAGCGCUGUGAAAACAGGCAACGAGUCAGGGUCCAACAUGUCUGACAGCGGGUCAGUAAAGAAAGGUGGAGAUAAGGACCUACGAGUGGGAGAUCGAGUUCUGGUGAGUAAUUUUGUGUUGGAUAACAAAUGGUUU